AGACAGCAUCUCUCAGUUCAUCCUGCAACCAGAUUAACACUGGAUAUAUUACACUGGCUCAGACCAGAAUAAUCCUAUCAAUUGCUUCUAACCUAACCAGCAAGAUAAAAUGCUGUUUUUUUUUUUUUUUAAGGAAUAUAGCAUGCACAAGCUUAAUGUGAAAAGGAUUAGUGAACCAACUAAAAACAGAUUCACUUUGAAAUCAAAUAGUCCAUGGAAUGAAAACAUAUAAGAAAGACAAAUCCAAUCACCAAAUGAAUGGGUGCCCUCUUUAUAAAAAUAAGGUAGUAAGAUGAAAGAAUUUCAAGCAUUAACCUUAGUAACACAUAGAUCAACUGAUCAACAAAUUGUUGCUCCAAAACCACUUCUUUCAAAUAGAGAAUGCUUUUUAUGGUGCCCUUUUUUACCACCUUAUUUAUCCUGCAUGAUGUGGCAUCACCCUAGUCAUCAUAAUCCCUCCCUAUCCAAGAAUUUUAAAGCAGAACAUCACACCAAUAGCAUUGUCAUGUUAUGUAGGACAAAUAUGCAGUGCAAAAAUAUUGGUAUGUUUGGCAUGAUUCUUUUGGAAAAUGGCAAAAUUAAGGCCAAAAAAGAAAAACAUAA
rnacentral:misc_RNA from 1 species